rnacentral:rRNA from 1 species
GCGAGUGGUGAACGGCUGAGUAACACGUGGAGAACCUGCCCCUCCCCCGGGAUAGCCGCCCGAAAGGACGGGUAAUACCGGAUACCCCCGGGAGCCGCAUGGCUCCCGGGCUAAAGCCCCCGACGGGAGGGGAUGGCUCCGCGGCCCAUCAGGUAGACGGCGGGGUGACGGCCCACCGUGCCGACAACGGGUAGCCGGGUUGAGAGACCGACCGGCCAGAUUGGGACUGAGAUACGGCCCAG